AUUGUCCAGGCCCAAGUUGGCCUCCAUGUUUCAUGUCACACCCAGUGGUGUAUUUUGGAUUUGUGCUGCCAUAGGCACGACUAAAUUCGGGCACCCCCAAAAUCUAAAUUUGCCCCACCAAUUCUUGUCAAGGCCACUUUUUUAACUGACAGACACAUGCCCUCAUUAAUACAUGCACUGAUAUACACUCACUGACAGACACACUGACAGGCACACACACU